CACCACCCCUGGCUCCUGCUUGUGUGCUUGAUUUGUGGAGCUGAUGCCUACUCCUAGCUGCAAGGGAGGCUGGCAAAGUGAAAUCAUAGCCUCCAUUUGGGAUAGAAGGCAAGAAGGCCUCAAGUGUAUGAAGACUGUAAAAAGGUGCAGCACAGCUAGAAAACAUGACGAAGGUCCAUGGGCUGGAAUGUAGAAGUGGACUUUUGGCCACGUGGAUGAGGAAUUGAAGCAGUCAGUUCUGAUCUAGAGAUGGAAGGCGCCUGCUGAGGACAGCAGGGCUGCUUGGCACCCUGGGUCCCUGAAUGGCUCUGUGGAGCACUGCCUGAUGGCCCACCCUGGACUGUUGCCUGAGACAGAAAUAAACUUUUAUCUUGUU
rnacentral:lncRNA from 1 species